UACAGAGGUCCCAAGCGUUGUUCGGAUUUACUGGGCGUAAAGCGUGCGCAGGCGGUUCGUUGUGUCGGUGGUGAAAUCCCCGGGCUUAACCUGGGAAUGGCCAUGGAAACUGGCGAACUGGAGUGCGGCAGAGGGGGGUGGAAUUCCGCGUGUAGCAGUGAAAUGCGUAGAGAUGCGGAGGAACACCGAUGGCGAAGGCAGCCCCCUGGGCUAGCACUGACGCUCAGGCACGAAAGCGUGGGGAGCAAACAGG
rnacentral:rRNA from 1 species